rnacentral:lncRNA from 1 species
CCUCCCUUUUGCCCUUUGUGAAUAUGGAGAACAGUUGCUUGACAAUUUUCUCAUUUAACAACAAUUACGUUUUUAGAUACCUAAAUGAUGUUAAGGCAGCUCUUUAAAACAUUGCUUUGCUGAAGCAACCUCAUUCUUCCAGUGGUAGAGAACAUAAUUCCGUAUAUUUGUGGGGGUGGUUGGGUGUGGAAUGACCAAAGCUUUAUUUCGGAAGUUCUCUGUCACUGAAAGUGCCCUGAUAGAAAUAAAGCACUUAAUGAGGUCUUGGACAGGUGCUGCCCGCCCAGCAUUCUUGCUGAAACUCUCCCUGUGCGUCACUGGCUCCUGGGCGCGAUGUUUCAGGUAACUCGGGCAAAGCACGCAUGCUGCUGUGGCUCUGUGGUCAGCCCAUGACGAGAGCCUCGUCCACGUUCCGUGAAAUCUGUGAGUGCUGCCCGAGUCGAGCUACCGUUGCUCACCACCGCCACUUCCUGUCUUCCUACCCAGCGCCGCGGCUCUCGGAGGCUGCCAGUGGCUGGGUGCGCCUGGCCUGAGUCCUCCACCCGAAGAAAAUAAGGAACCUGGCCAGAGAGAGGCAAAAGGAAGAGUCUGCUCCUCAUGUUCCUUCUUGCUGUGGUUUUACCCUCGCCACUUAUUUCGUGGUCAUUCAUUGCUAUGCUGUGAAGAGUAAGAGGAAGUAUUCUGAAAAGUGCAAGGUCUUAUACUGAGAAAGGCACAGAAGCAACACUGCAAAUAUCACAAAUCUCCAGCACCGUAUGCUGUUACUCUGAGCUGGAUUUUUUGUUCUUUUGUUUGCAUAGAUUAUUCUGCUUUUAAUCUUCAAAAUCUGCGCAUGAAAGGGGACUGCACAGAAUUUUUUUUUUCUUUUUGAGAUGGAAUCUCAUUCUGUCUGUCACUCAGGCUGGUGUGUG